rnacentral:pre_miRNA from 1 species
UGGCAGUGUAUUGUUAGCUGGUUGAAUAUAUAUUAUUAGCAGCUAACAUACAACUGCUAUC